rnacentral:lncRNA from 1 species
AGCAAUCCUACUGCCUCAGCCUCCCCAGUAGCUAGAACCACAGGCUUGCACCACUAUGCCCAGCUUAUUCACCCCAUUUUAUAGAUGAGACUGAAGCAUAGGCUAUAAGAAAUUGCCCAAGGUUUUACCAUCACUGAACAAUAGGGCCAGGUAGAGCCCUUACCCCCUGCUACUCUAAUAUGGCACCUCUCAUUUUAUCCAUAGUCUCACUUAUUAUCUGAUUCAAUAUUUAGACCACCCUGUGAGGUCCUAUGUGGAAACCAAAGCACAAAGAUGACCAAAGUACAAAGAAAUGACCAACCCAUGGUGUCACAGCUUGUAGAAUCACAGUCUGACCUACACCCAGAUCUUUUAAACCCUAAGACUCUGCUACAGGCUCCCAAGGCACAGACUGGGAUGCCUUGGGUGCCUGUGCCAGAGCACAGACUGAAGUGUCAGAUGCCUUAUAAGAGUGAGUGUGGGUGGAAAACCUUUUGGCUUAAAAGUAAUGGCAAAAACCGCAAUUACUUUUGCACCAACCUAAUAGAAAGCAGACUGGUGGUUGCCAGGAGCUGGAAAGGGGGAAAUGGGGAGUUACUGCUAAUGAUUAUGGAAUUUCCAUUUGAGUCAUCAAAAAGUUCUGGACCUUGAUAGUGGUGAUGGUUGCACAACACUGCGAAAGCACUUAAUGCCACUGAAUUUUAUACUUUAAAAUGGUUAAAAUGGCAAA